UGCAUAUCAAAAAAGCGUAGGAAAAGAAACCAACAGGGAUUGCCUUAGUAGCGGCGAGUGAAGCGGCAAAAGCUCAAAUUUGAAAUCUGGCUCUUUCAGAGUCCGAGUUGUAAUUUGAAGAAGGUAUCUUUGGGUCUGGCUCUUGUCUAUGUUUCUUGGAACAGAACGUCACAGAGGGUGAGAAUCCCGUGCGAUGAGAUGAUCCAGGCCUAUGUAAAGUUCCUUCGAAGAGUCGAGUUGUUUGGGAAUGCAGCUCUAAGUGGGUGGUAAAUUCCAUCUAAAGCUAAAUAUUGGCGAGAGACCGAUAGCGAACAAGUACAGUGAUGGAAAGAUGAAAAGAACUUUGAAAAGAGAGUGAAAAAGUACGUGAAAUUGUUGAAAGGGAAGGGCUUGAGAUCAGACUUGGUAUUUUGUAUGUUACUUCUUCGGGGGUGGCCUCUACAGUUUAUCGGGCCAGCAUCAGUUUGGGCGGUAGGAGAAUUGCGUUGGAAUGUGGCACGGCUUCGGUUGUGUGUUAUAGCCUUCGUCGAUACUGCCAGCCUAGACUGAGGACUGCGGUUUAUACCUAGGAUGUUGGCAUAAUGAUCUUAAGUCGCCCGUCUUGAACCACGGACCC
rnacentral:rRNA from 1 species